CACGUAGGGGGCGAGCGUUGUCCGGAAUCAUUGGGCGUAAAGAGCUCGUAGGCGGCUCGGUAAGUCGGGUGUGAAAACCCCCCAGGCUCAACCUGGGGACGCCACCCGAUACUGCUGUGGCUAGAGUCCAGUAGGGGAGUGUGGAAUUCCCGGUGUAGCGGUGAAAUGCGCAGAUAUCGGGAGGAACACCAAUGGCGAAGGCAGCUCGCUGGGACGGUACUGACGCUGAGACGCGAAAAGCGUGGGGAGCAAACAGG
rnacentral:rRNA from 1 species